CCUACGGGAGUCAGCAGUAGGGAAUAUUCCACAAUGGGCGAAACCCUGAUGGAGCAACGCCGCGUGGGUGAAGAAGGUCUUCGGAUCGUAAAACCCUGUCGUUAGAGAAGAAAGUGCGUGAGAGUAACUGUUCACCUCUCGACGGUAUCUAACCAGACACCCACGGAUAACGCAGUGCCAGUAGCCUCGGUAAUACUUAUGGGUCAACCGUUAUCCGGAUUUAUUGGGCGUAAAGGGAACGCAGGCGGUUUGUUAAGUCUGAAGUUAAAACCUGCGGCUUAACCGGCGUAGUGCAUUGGAAACUGGGAGACUUGAGUGCAGAAGAGGUGAGUGGAACUCCAUGUGUAGCGGUGAAAUGCGUAGAUAUAUGGAAGAACACCAGUGGCGAAAGCGGCUUUCUGGUCUGUAACUGACGCUGAGGUUCGAAAGCGUGGGUAGCAAACAGGAUUAGAUACCCUUGUAGUC
rnacentral:rRNA from 1 species